CCGAUUAAUCAAAAAUUGAAAAACUUAAAAAAAGGGGCAUGCCGGUUCCGACCAUAUGUCGGUAUGGUACCAAACCGGUACCAUACCGACCCGCCUACCAAUCGGUAUGGAUCCAAGUACCGGUUCAGCGGACUUUGGUCUCCAAAUUUGUUCAGUUAGAAUAGAUUCUCAAGUCAUUUUCCUAUACUUUUGUUCUUUUUUAAUUUAUUGAAGAGCUGAGAGGUCUGAGACAUGAAGUUUCUGUUGUUUAGGGUUCAAGAUCAUCAACGAGGCCAAUACAACUUAUCGAUCCUAGGCACGGAAUUGCGCGGGGCAACGAAUCGCGACAACUUAUCG
rnacentral:lncRNA from 1 species